rnacentral:rRNA from 1 species
CCUACGGGAGGCAGCAGUGAGGAAUAUUGGUCAAUGGCCGGAAGGCUGAACCAGCCAAGUCGCGUGAGGGACGACUGCCCUAUGGGUUGUAAACCUCUUUUAUAAGGGAAGAAUAAAUGCUACGUGUAGCAUGAUGCCUGUACCUUAUGAAUAAGCAUCGGCUAACUCCGUGCCAGCAGCCGCGGUAAUACGGAGGAUGCGAGCGUUAUCCGGAUUUAUUGGGUUUAAAGGGAGCGUAGGCGGGUUGUUAAGUCAGUUGUGAAAGUUUGCGGCUCAACCGUAAAAUUGCAGUUGAUACUGGCAUCCUUGAGUACAGUAGAGGUAGGCGGAAUUCGUGGUGUAGCGGUGAAAUGCUUAGAUAUCACGAAGAACUCCGAUUGCGAAGGCAGCCUGCUGGACUGUAACUGACGCUGAUGCUCGAAAGUGUGGGUAUCAAACAGGAUUAGAUACCCCGGUAGUC